GAUGAACGCUGGCGGCAUGCCUAAUACAUGCAAGUCGAACGAGAGGAAGGAAAGCUUGCUUUCCUGAAUCUAGUGGCGAACGGGUGAGUAACACGUAAGUAACCUGCCCAUGUGCCCGGGAUAACUUCUGGAAACGGAUGCUAAAACCGGAUAGGUAGCAGACAAGCAUUUGACUGCUAUUAAAGUGGCCUUGGCCAUAAACAUGGAUGGACCUGCGGUGCAUUAGCUAGUUGGUGAGGUAACGGCCCACCAAGGCGACGAUGCAUAGCCGGCCUGAGAGGGCGGACGGCCACAUUGGGACUGAGACACGGCCCAAACUCCUACGGGAGGCAGCAGUAGGGAAUUUUCGUCAAUGGGGGGAACCCUGAACGAGCAAUGCCGCGUGAGUGAGGAAGGUCUUCGGAUCGUAAAGCUCUGUUGUAAGAGAAAAACGGCACUCAUAGGGAAUGAUGAGUGAGUGAUGGUAUCUUACCAGAAAGUCACGGCUAACUACGUGCCAGCCGCCGCCGUAAUAC
rnacentral:rRNA from 1 species